rnacentral:rRNA from 1 species
UACAGGGGGUGCAAACGUUGCUCGGAAUUACUGGGCGUAAAGCGCGUGUAGGCGGUCGGGCAAGUCGGAUGUGAAAGCCCAGGGCUCAACCCUGGAAGUGCACUCGAUACUGCUCGGCUAGAGUCCCGGAGAGGAUGGUGGAACUCUCGGUGUAGAGGUGAAAUUCGUAGAUAUCGAGAAGAACACCGGUGGCGAAGGCGGCCAUCUGGACGGUGACUGACGCUGAGACGCGAAAGCGUGGGGAGCAAACAGG